rnacentral:rRNA from 1 species
AUUGAACGCUGGCGGCGGGCUUAACACAUGCAAGUCGAGCGGGGUGAUGGUGCUUGCACUAUCACUUAGCGGCGGACGGGUGAGUAAUGCUUAGGAAUCUGCCUAUUAGUGGGGGACAACAUCUCGAAAGGGAUGCUAAUACCGCAUACGUCCUACGGGAGAAAGCAGGGGAUCACUUGUGACCUUGCGCUAAUAGAUGAGCCUAAGUCGGAUUAGCUAGUUGGUGGGGUAAAGGCCUACCAAGGCGGCGAUCUGUAGCGGGUCUGAGAGGAUGAUCCGCCACACUGGGACUGAGACACGGCCCAGACUCCUACGGGAGGCAGCAGUGGGGAAUAUUGGACAAUGGGGGGAACCCUGAUCCAGCCAUGCCGCGUGUGUGGAGAAGGCCUUAUGGUUGUAAAGCACUUUAAGCGGGGAGGAGGCUCUUUUGGUUAAUACCCAAGAUGAGUGGACGUUACUCGCAGAAUAAGCACCGGCUAACUCUGUGCCAGCAGCCGCGGUAA